rnacentral:rRNA from 1 species
CUCGUAGGCGGUUCGUCGCGUCCGGUGUGAAAGUCCAUCGCUUAACGGUGGAUCCGCGCCGGGUACGGGCGGGCUCGAGUGCGGUAGGGGAGACUGGAAUUCCCGGUGUAACGGUGGAAUGUGUAGAUAUCGGGAAGAACACCAAUGGCGAAGGCAGGUCUCUGGGCCGUUACUGACGCUGAGGAGCGAAAGCGUGGGGAGCGAACA